rnacentral:tRNA from 1 species
GGCGACAUGGCCGAGUGGUAAGGCGCGGGACUGCAAAUCCCCUUUCCCCAGUUCAAAUCCGGGUGUCGCCUGA